rnacentral:rRNA from 1 species
AUUGAACGCUGGCGGCAGGCCUAACACAUGCAAGUCGAGCGAGCGGCGGACGGGUGAUUCCUGUAUGGGUACUGCCCGAUAGAGGGGGAUAACUACUGGAAACGGUAGCUAAUACCGCAUCCUAUCGGCUAACCCCUAUGGGAUUAGCUAGUAGGUGAGGUAAUGGCUCACCUAGGCGACGAUCCCUAGCUGGUCUGAGAGGAUGAUCAGCCACACUGGGACUGAGACACGGCCCAGACUCCUACGGAGGCAGCAGUGGGGAAUAUUGGACAAUGGGCGCAAGCCUGAUGCAGCCAUGCCGCGUGUAUGAAGAAGGCCAUAGGGUUGUAAAGUACUUUCAGUCGGGAGGCGUUACCGACAGAAGAAGCACCGGCUAACUCCGUGCCAGCAGCCGCGGUAAUAC